CCACGUGCCACUUCAUCCAAGGGCUCCCAUUUCAUAUGUAUCACUAUAAAUACUCCCAUUGUGUAAUGUCAAAGACUAAUGCAAGAAUCAAUACUAAAGACUACAUUUACUCAACUCUCUCUCAGUUACUUGUAAUACACAAAUCGAGUUUAUACACUUUUACAUAUACAUUUACGAGCACCGGUUGAUAAUUAUUGUACAGUCGGAUUACGAACAGCCCGUCGGAUUCCGAACGUCACCGUCCCGCGUUGUUGGGCUAUUCCCACGCCCCUUUAAAUCGUUCGUUUUAGACCGUCCACGUAUCUUAGCGUGUUGGACAUUCGCUCACACAAGCGCGGGUGGGACCGGCAUCUGUUGGCUCACUUUUUGGGGUCAACAAGUCCCAUCAAACGAGGUACAACCUCACCAUCGAACCAGCCUA
rnacentral:lncRNA from 1 species